GAUGAACGCUGGCGGCGUGCCUAAUACAUGCAAGUCGAGCGAACAGACGAGGAGCUUGCUCCUCUGAUGUUAGCGGCGGACGGGUGAGUAACACGUGGAUAACCUACCUAUAAGACUGGGAUAACUUCGGGAAACCGGAGCUAAUACCGGAUAACAUGUUGAACCGCAUGGUUCAACAGUGAAAGACGGUCUUGCUGUCACUUAUAGAUGGAUCCGCGCCGCAUUAGCUAGUUGGUAAGGUAACGGCUUACCAAGGCAACGAUGCGUAGCCGACCUGAGAGGGUGAUCGGCCACACUGGGACUGAGACACGGUCCAGACUCCUACGGGAGGCAGCAGUAGGGAAUCUUCCGCAAUGGGCGAAAGCCUGACGGAGCAACGCCGCGUGAGUGAAGAAGGUCUUCGGAUCGUAAAACUCUGUUAUUAGGGAAGAACAAAUGUGUAAGUAACUAUGCACGUCUUGACGGUACCUAAUCAGAAAGCCACGGCUAACUACGUG
rnacentral:rRNA from 1 species